AUUGAACGCUGGCGGCAGGCCUAACACAUGCAAGUCGAACGAGUGGCGGACGGGUGAGUAAUGUCUGGGAAACUGCCUGAUGGAGGGGGCUAACUACUGGAAACGGUAGCUAAUACCGCAUACCAUCGGAUGUGCCCUGAUUGGAUUAGCUAGUAGGUGAGGUAAAGGUUCACCUAGGCGACGAUCCCUAGCUGGUCUGAGAGGAUGACCGGCCACAGUGGAACUGAGACACGGUCCAGACUCCUACGGGAGGCAGCAGUGGGGAAUAUUGCAAAAUGGGCGCAAGCCUGAUGGAGCCAUGCCGCGUGAGUGAAGAAGGCCUUCGGAUUGUAAAGUACUUUCAGCGGGGAGGCGUUACCCAAAGAGAAAGCACCGGCUAACUACGUGCCAGCAGCCGCGGUAAUAC
rnacentral:rRNA from 1 species